CAGUAGCCGCGGUAAUGCGGAGGGUGCAAGCGUUAAUCGGAGUUACUGGGCGUAAAGCGCACGCAGGCGGUCUGUCAAGUCAGAUGUGAAAUCCCCGGGCUUAACCUGGGAACUGCAUUUGAAACUGGCAGGCUAGAGUCUUGUAGAGGGGGGUAGAAUUCCAGGUGUAGCGGUGAAAUGCGUAGAGAUCUGGAGGAAUACCGGUGGCGAAGGCGGCCCCCUGGACAAAGACUGACGCUCAGGUGCGAAAGCGUGGGGAGCAAACAGGAUUAGAUACCCGUGUAGUCCCUGUCUCUUAUAC
rnacentral:rRNA from 1 species